GAGGGGAGACAAGAGGCAAGGC
rnacentral:miRNA from 1 species